AGUACAGUGAGCCCAGCAGCCAGCCAAUCAGACUCAGAUAGCUCUAAAAUCUGAUGCCUCCAGACAAAUGGUACAGUGCACUGAUUAUGCUUUCUUAUUGUGCAUGAAUACAACAUACAUAUUGUAAAUGCCCCAAGUACUGGCAAAGGCUGCUAUGCAGAUCAGAUUGCUCAGAAGGAGCAGCAUUGCCAGGGUAUAAGCACAUGCCAUGUAACUCAUUACAUGAUACAGCAUCUGACAAGCUGACUACAACAUUUCUGUGCUGGAAUGUUCUCUUUUCAAGACUAGAUCAUAGCUAUCAUCGUGGGUAGAAGUACCGGACCUGCUAUAGAUCCUGUAGACUCAAGGAAGGAACUGCUGCUGGGAACCAAGAUGUCUACUAUGACUGCUGUUGCUAAUUAGCUGGAUUCUCUUCAGGCAGUUUGGUCCAUUGUGAAGCAUAUGAUUAUGGCCCACGUGGUUUGACCAGGCAUGGUUUCUGUAUCAACACCAUACAUUAUACGUCUAUCCUAGACAGAAUCCAACCCACUGUUGGCUGAGAUCUAAUUUCACUUUCAAACCUACAAUGUUUGAGAAUUAAAUGGACAGCAAGUUUACUUCAUGAAAGCGGGAUCUCAGCCAGACUUGUUUGAAAAUGCUGGAAAGAACAUUGGGUGAGUUAAGCUGCUUUAAACAAGAGGAUAACUUGUCAGUUAAGCCUCCAGAAAGCAUGUUA